rnacentral:rRNA from 1 species
AGUGAACGCUGGCGGUAGGCCUAACACAUGCAAGUCGAACGGCAGCACGGUAAGAGCUUGCUCUUACGGGUGGCGAGUGGCGGACGGGUGAGGAAUACAUCGGAAUCUACUUUUUCGUGGGGGAUAACGUAGGGAAACUUACGCUAAUACCGCAUACGACCUACGGGUGAAAGCAGGGGAUCUUCGGACCUUGCGCGAUUGAAUGAGCCGAUGUCGGAUUAGCUAGUUGGCGGGGUAAAGGCCCACCAAGGCGACGAUCCGUAGCUGGUCUGAGAGGAUGAUCAGCCACACUGGAACUGAGACACGGUCCAGUCUCCUACGGGAGGCAGCAGUGGGGAAUAUUGGACAAUGGGCGCAAGCCUGAUCCAGCCAUACCGCGUGGGUGAAGAAGGCCUUCGGGUUGUAAAGCCCUUUUGUUGGGAAAGAAAAGCAGCAGGUUAAUACCCCGCUGUUCUGACGGUACCCAAAGAAUAAGCACCGGCUAACUUCGUG